rnacentral:rRNA from 1 species
AUUGAACGCUGGCGGCAGGCCUAACACAUGCAAGUCGAACGAGUGGCGGACGGGUGAGUAAUGUCUGGGAAACUGCCCGAUGGAGGGGGAUAACUACUGGAAACGGUAGCUAAUACCGCAUACCACCUGAUGAGCCCAGAGGGGAUUAGCUUGUAGGUGAGGUAACGGCCCACCUAGGCGACUAGCACUAGCUGGUCUGAGAGGAUGACCAGCCAAACUGGAACUGGGCCAAGGUCCAGACUCCGACGGGAGGCAGCAGUGGGGAAUAUUGGACAAUGGGCGCAAGCCUGAUCCAGCCAUACCGCGUGGGUGAAGAAGGCCUUCGGGUUGUAAAGCCCUUUUGUUGGGAAAGCGGUACCCAAAGAAUAAGCACCGGCUAACUUCGUGCCAGCAGCCGCGGUAAUAC